rfam:Ailuropoda melanoleuca scaffold429_78, whole genome shotgun sequence.
AUUAGAAUCAAAGAUGCAGCUGCUUUCACAUAGCAACAGGAGUCAAAAAAGAGCCGAAAGUGACAGUUUUCCUGUUCGACCACUGUUCCGUUCUGUAACUGAUUUAUGACAUUUUGGGAAAACACAGCU